GCUGGAGGCCGCUUUGGCUCCUUCCAGCCAGGCUGAGCCUUUCCGGGAGGGUGAUCGCAAAGAGGCCUGGGCUGAUGGCAGGCAAGAAACCCUGUUAGUAAAGAGGCGGCGUAACCUCACUGCACAGAGCAGCGUGCCUUUGCUGCAGGACCCCCCCCCCCCACCACCUGCCGCAGACCCCGGGGGUCUCCGCAUCCCUGGGUUCUGUCUCUCUACAGCUAAGCCUCUCUCCCUUUACUGCGGAAGGCCUGGGACGCCCUUGCCAGCCAGGAUUCCUUCAGACUGCCUCUGCCCCCUGAUGCUGGCAGAUUUUUCCUUUUCCUUCGCUGCUGCAGGAUUCCCCGGACAACCCAGAGGUCAAGUUCAUGGACUCCUAUUUCCUAGGUCAAGGGCGAGGGGCCCCUGGUGUGGCUUAGGCUGGGCCACUUGGAUCUGGAUCUACCUGGGCAAGUCUGAUGGACGGUGAGGAGGAUGGGCCAGAAGCUGGGUGCAGUGGCUACCCAGGGCAUGUAAAGGGCACCGGGGUGUACCGCUCAGACCCCCUUCCAGGAAGGGCUCAGGCCCCGGCCACAAUGAGCAUGGCGGGGUGACGGGUCCUUCAGGAUAGACCUCAGCUUUCAAACCUGGCCCUACUCUGCUUAGGACUGCGGAGGCCAACAUGUGGUCCAGGGGCCCAGCGCUUCUGUCCAGCGUGGGACCCUUCUGCUAGUCGUCUGUGCUCCAGAACCCCAGCGGGCAGCUCCUGGUGUCACGGCUUCCUGGCCUUUUUGUUUCAACGGGCCCACCUUCGUCUUCCAUCCAAACGUUAGGGAAAUCUUACAGAUGGCCCCUUUCCGGUUUUGCCCUGAGUGGGUGUUCGUCCGCUCCAGGCUGGGCGAAUCCCCACGGAGCUUCAUUUUCUCCAUCUCCUCUAAUUCCCAGCUGAGGGGGGCUGGCACCAGACGCAGACUAUGUGGCUUCCCAACACACCAAAGGCAGGAGCCGGGCUUGUUGGGUAACCGGACCGGUCACGGCUGCUGGAGCUUUCCAUCGGCGCUCCCCCAGGAGCCGAGUCAGCCGGCUGCUGCCAGGAACCUCCACACCCCGUGCUUUGGGGGUCGGGAGAGGCACACGCAUGCACGCACACGCCAGCACUGUCCCCCCGGAGCGCGGGCUUGAAGCCAGCAUCAGUGGGGAGCAACCCACGGAGGACAAGAACGUAGCAAUUCCCUGGCCGCACUGCAGAGCGGGCCUGACGCCUCCCGUCCCGGGCGUGGGGCCAGGUGGGCAGGCCCUGCCACGGGGUGACGGAGGCCACACCAGGGCAUGACCGAGGCCUGCCCCGACAUGCUCUCCGACACCAGCUGGCAGCAGCCACGCUCUGCCCUUAGGAGCACUCGCACGACAGUCCAAACCAUCAGCUGCCGCGAGAGCCACAUCGCUUCUGACAGGCGGGCCGCGACAGGGCCAGCGCCGGCCAGCGGGCAGGUGCAGAGGGCUCCAUCCUGCGGCUCUUCUCCGAGGGCACGGCAUGUUUCUUCCCCGCCCAAUUAACUCCCCAGAGACCCAUCCAGAAGGACUGGAUUUGUCAUGAAAACCGACCCGACAGGAUUCGUAGAGAGCUGGCUGCCACAGAGGGGAGGCUGGGAUCCAAGGCGCUCCUUCCCAGCGGGUCAUUUGCCUGACUUCAGCAGAAAUGCACAGCAGAUAACCCAGAGCCGCACGAGCACCUGCAAUGGAAGAAUUCAGAAUCACGAGUAAUGGGUCUAAAUUGGCAGGCUUUCACGAGAGUCCCACAAAUCUCCAAGUAGACAGCUGCCAUGGGUCACGUAAAAUGUACGUAGCUUUAAUAUACAGUUUCAUUUUGCUUGAAUAUCAGCCUGGGUGCAGAGAAUCAAAGAACGGCUCGGGGUAGAGAAUUCAAUAUGAGAAUCCAGCCGGGGCUGCCAAGCCAUAUAUGUGCUAAUGUUGCAGUUUCGACACCGGACUUAAGGUCAAGAUUAAUUCAGUGAAGAAUAAUCAUUUCACAAUGUCAUAGACACCUUCUGAGUUGCAGAGCAGAAGGCAUCCAGGAGGGUAGAUGAGGCAUGGAGUGUGUUUUGCCAAAUGGCCAAAGUGGGGAAUUCUUUGGACGGACAGCCAUAUUUUUCUUUGCCUCAACUGCUCAAGUCGGCUGCUGCAGCACAAAGGCGGCCAAGGACAGUGCGUAAAUGGUGACGCUGUGUUCUAAUAGAACUUUAUUUGUGGACGCUAACAUUUGAGUUUCACAUAAUUUUCACAUGUUGUGAAAUACUCUUCUUUUAACUUUUCCCUAACAUUUAAAAAUGUAAAGGUCAUUCUCAGCUCAUCAGCAGAGCAAAAAAUAGUUGUUAUUCUGACCCCUGAAAUGAUAUAAGGAUUCCCUAAGCCAUUGUGAGCCCAUUUUCAACAAAAAAACCAACUCACGGUCGA